UCCACUAACUUAUAAGUGUUCAUUUCCUAACCAGUUCUUAAAAAUAAUCAGACAUGGAGAAAAUUUAAACUUUGUUUUGUUUAAUUGAACACCAUGUAUACUUUAUUUUUGCUUUUUGGAGUUAUUUUUACCUCGGUUUUGCUUAUAGAACCACCAAAAAAUCGUACACAAUGUGUUAUGGGUAAAGGAUCAUGUUUGAUCAACGACGCCAGAAA